UACGGGGGGAGCAAGCGUUGUUCGGAUUUACUGGGCGUAAAGGGCGCGUAGGCGGUCGUGACAAGUCACUUGUGAAAUCUCCGGGCUUAACUCGGAACGGUCAAGUGAUACUGUCGGACUAGAGUACAGAAGGGGCAACUGGAAUUCUCGGUGUAGCGGUGAAAUGCGUAGAUAUCGGGAGGAACACCAGUGGCGAAGGCGGCUACCUGGACCGGUUCUGACACUGAGGAGCGAAAGCGUGGGGAGCGAUCCGG
rnacentral:rRNA from 1 species